AUAAUGGGUCAGCGACUUAUAUUCUGUAGCAAGGUUAACCGAAUAGGGGAGCCGAAGGGAAACCGAGUCUUAACUGGGCGUUAAGUUGCAGGGUAUAGACCCGAAACCCGGUGAUCUAGCCAUGGGCAGGUUGAAGGUUGGGUAACACUAACUGGAGGACCGAACCGACUAAUGUUGAAAAAUUAGCGGAUGACUUGUGGCUGGGGGUGAAAGGCCAAUCAAACCGGGAGAUAGCUGGUUCUCCCCGAAAGCUAUUUAGGUAGCGCCUCGUGAAUUCAUCUCCGGGGGUAGAGCACUGUUUCGGCAAGGGGGUCAUCCCGACUUACCAACCCGAUGCAAACUGCGAAUACCGGAGAAUGUUAUCACGGGAGACACACGGCGGGUGCUAACGUCCGUCGUGAAGAGGGAAACAACCCAGACCGCCAGCUAAGGUCCCAAAGUCAUGGUUAAGUGGGAAACGAUGUGGGAAGGCCCAGACAGCCAGGAUGUUGGCUUAGAAGCAGCCAUCAUUUAAAGAAAGCGUAAUAGCUCACUGGUCGAGUCGGCCUGCGCGGAAGAUGUAACGGGGCUAAACCAUGCACCGAAGCUGCGGCAGCGACGCUUAU
rnacentral:rRNA from 1 species